UACGUAGGGACCAAGCGUUGUUCGGAUUUACUGGGCGUAAAGGGCGCGUAGGCGGCGUGGUAAGUCAGCUGUGAAAUCUCCGAGCUUAACUCGGAACGGUCAGCCGAUACUGCUGUGCUAGAGUACAGAAAGGGCAAUCGGAAUUCUUGGUGUAGCGGUGAAAUGCGUAGAUAUCAAGAGGAACACCUGAGGCGAAGGCGGGUUGCUAGGCUGAUACUGACGCUGAGGCGCGAAAGCUAGGGGAGCAAACGGG
rnacentral:rRNA from 1 species